AGUGAACGCUGGCGGUAGGCCUAACACAUGCAAGUCGAACGGCAGCACAGUAAGAGCUUGCUCUUACGGGUGGCGAGUGGCGGACGGGUGAGGAAUACAUCGGAAUCUACUUUUUCGUGGGGGAUAACGUAGGGAAACUUACGCUAAUACCGCAUACGACCUACGGGUGAAAGCAGGGGGUCUUCGGACCUUGCGCGAUUGAAUGAGCCGAUGUCGGAUUAGCUAGUUGGCGGGGUAAAGGCCCACCUAGGCGACGAUCCGUAGCUGGUCUGAGAGGAUGAUCAGCCACACUGGAACUGAGACACGGUCCAGACUCCUACGGGAGGCAGCAGUGGGGAAUAUUGGACAAUGGGCGCAAGCCUGAUCCAGCCAUACCGCGUGGGUGAAGAAGGCCUUCGGGUUGUAAAGCCCUUUUGUUGGGAAAGAAAAGCAGCAGGUUAAUACCCCGCUGUUCUGACGGUACCCAAAGAAUAAGCACCGGCUAACUUCGUG
rnacentral:rRNA from 1 species